rnacentral:rRNA from 1 species
UGCAGUAGAACGCUGAAGAGAGGAGCUUGCUCUUCUUGGAUGAGUUGCGAACGGGUGAGUAACGCGUAGGUAACCUGCCUUGUAGCGGGGGAUAACUAUUGGAAACGAUAGCUAAUACCGCAUAACAAUGGAUGACACAUGUCAUUUAUUUGAAAGGGGCAAUUGCUCCACUACAAGAUGGACCUGCGUUGUAUUAGCUAGUAGGUGAGGUAAUGGCUCACCUAGGCGACGAUACAUAGCCGACCUGAGAGGGUGAUCGGCCACACUGGGACUGAGACACGGCCCAGACUCCUACGGGAGGCAGCAGUAGGGAAUCUUCGGCAAUGGGGGCAACCCUGACCGAGCAACGCCGCGUGAGUGAAGAAGGUUUUCGGAUCGUAAAGCUCUGUUGUAAGUCAAGAACGGGUGUGAGAGUGGAAAGUUCACACUGUGACGGUAGCUUACCAGAAAGGGACGGCUAACUACGUGCCAGCAGCCGCGGUAAUACGUAGGUCCCGAGCGUUGUCCGGAUUUAUUGGGCGUAAAGCGAGCGCAGGCGGUUUGAUAAGUCUGAAGUUAAAGGCUGUGGCUCAACCAUAGUUCGCUUUGGAAACUGUCAAACUUGAGUGCAGAAGGGGAGAGUGGAAUUCCAUGUGUAGCGGUGAAAUGCGUAGAUAUAUGGAGGAACACCGGUGGCGAAAGCGGCUCUCUGGUCUGUAACUGACGCUGAGGCUCGAAAGCGUGGGGAGCGAACAGGAUUAGAUACCCUGGUAGUCCACGCCGUAAACGAUGAGUGCUAGGUGUUGGAUCCUUUCCGGGAUUCAGUGCCGCAGCUAACGCAUUAAGCACUCCGCCUGGGGAGUACGACCGCAAGGUUGAAACUCAAAGGAAUUGACGGGGGCCCGCACAAGCGGUGGAGCAUGUGGUUUAAUUCGAAGCAACGCGAAGAACCUUACCAGGUCUUGACAUCCCGAUGCUAUUUCUAGAGAUAGAAAGUUACUUCGGUACAUCGGUGACAGGUGGUGCAUGGUUGUCGUCAGCUCGUGUCGUGAGAUGUUGGGUUAAGUCCCGCAACGAGCGCAACCCCUAUUGUUAGUUGCCAUCAUUCAGUUGGGCACUCUAGCGAGACUGCCGGUAAUAAACCGGAGGAAGGUGGGGAUGACGUCAAAUCAUCAUGCCCCUUAUGACCUGGGCUACACACGUGCUACAAUGGUUGGUACAACGAGUUGCGAGUCGGUGACGGCGAGCUAAUCUCUUAAAGCCAAUCUCAGUUCGGAUUGUAGGCUGCAACUCGCCUACAUGAAGUCGGAAUCGCUAGUAAUCGCGGAUCAGCACGCCGCGGUGAAUACGUUCCCGGGCCUUGUACACACCGCCCGUCAC